AGAAUCAACGCUGGCGGCGUGCCUAACACAUGCAAGUCGAACGAGAAAGUGGAGCAAUCCAUGAGUAAAGUGGCGCACGGGUGAGUAACACGUGACUAACCUACCCUUGAGUGGGGGAUAACCUAGGGAAACCUGGGCUAAUACCGCAUAAUAUCGAGAGAUCAAAGGAGCAAUUCGCUUAAGGAGGGGGUCGCGGCUGAUUAGCUAGUUGGUGAGGUAAUGGCUCACCAAGGCUAUGAUCAGUAUCCGGCCUGAGAGGGCGCACGGACACACUGGAACUGAAACACGGUCCAGACUCCUACGGAGGCAGCAGUGGGGAAUUUUGCGCAAUGGGGGAAACCCUGACGCAGCAACGCCGCGUGGAGGAUGAAGUCCCUUGGACGUAAACUCCUUUCGAUCGGGACGAUAAUGACGGUACCGGAAGAAGAAGCCCCGGCUAACUUCGCGCCAGCAGCCGC
rnacentral:rRNA from 1 species